UACAUUUCAAGGCCUCUUCCCAGUCGAAUGCUCUCAGAUGUCAGUAGUCCUGCCUCUCUGGAAAGGUGUUGUCAAUCUAACAUGUUAUCCUCACAUCAAGGGUUUUGACACUUAAAGGAUGACCUCCAGAAAAAGGAAAUGCUUAACCCUACAGAAGGGACUAGUAACAAAACAUACUGAUGAGUGUAACAAUUCAUGGAGCCAUAGAUACAGCAAAAUAAGGUAAGUUACUGUCCAAUUUUCUCAUAUUCUCUGUACAAAAAUCCUCUAAAGACUUCUGGUCCAGUGGAGGUAAAAAUCAUUGCCCCUUCCUUGUUAAAUGGAGCAAAGUAAAAGGAUAAAAUCAACCUGGCUUUCCUUAGUAAGUAAAGGAUCAAGUUGGUUGUUUGUUGAAAAUACAAAUUCACUUUUUAUUGUAACUAUUUGUUUCUAGGUGAAGUCAAUUCUCUGUCCUAAAUGAAAUGGCAAAAUACUCAGAUUCAGCAGAAGAGAAGUAGCAUGAGAUAAUACAAAAAUCUGUUAAAAGCUUUAAUUUCAAGUUCUGCCUGUGG
rnacentral:lncRNA from 10 species